AGUCAGAUUUAGCUGAUCUUUAUCGAAGCAGUUAUUACUGAUAUUAUAAAUCAAAAUAAAGAAGGAAGUUGAACAGUUUUUACACAGAGGAAGGAAACAAAUAUUAAGAUGAAUUAUAAAACAAUUUUUAUUUUGGGAAUUCUUUUAUCCAUAUUGAUGGUCACUUCUGGCGUCAAUGUGGGAAAGUGUGUCAGACGCGGUGAAUGCCGAAUACGGGCUUGCUACAGGAAAUGCAGAAGAAAUGGAUACUUGACUGGGUCAUGUGGCGGGUCAUUUAAGUGCCCCUGGAGAAGAAGAUUCACGUGCAAAUGUUUUGGAAUCCGAAUAAGAGGGUAGUUCUCUAUCGCAGAUUGGAAUUAUAAGUUAAAUUAUGCAUAAUAAAAAUGUUUUAUGAU
rnacentral:sRNA from 1 species